GCCCAAAGUUCACACAUCUCAUUACAUGGAUCAGUCAAAAUUCAAACUCAGUUUUCUAAUUCUAAAAACAAUCUUGAUAAUCUAUCAAUUUGUUACACUAUUUUUCUGGUCAUUUUAAGAAUUUAUUAUUUGAAACUUAAAACACUACUCCUUAACUAUCUGAUGUAUAGAGUACUCUUUUGAUUAUAAUUGACAAAAACACACACAUUCAAACAAGCUUAAUCAACAAAGAAAUGUAUUCACUCAUGUAGUAGAAAACCUCAGGGGGUGCUUUCUGUACAAGCCUGGCUGCUGUCAUGCCCUGCAAUGGUAAUGUAAGAAUUUUGCCUCUCUCAUUCCAUAUUUGUUCUAUUAUUUUCUGUGUUGACUUUGUUUUCAGUCUGACUUUUCUACACAUUUGGAAAGAUGGCUGUUAGCAGCUCCAGGCCAAUAUAGCAUGCAAUUCCAGAUCUGAGAAAAGCAAAAUUCUUUCUUUUCCACCAUUCAUACUAAUCCCUUAAAAGAGUUUUUGGGUCCUAGCUGGGACAUGUACCUUUCUGAGGUAUACUUUGACCUCUCUUCUUAAACCUCCAAAUUUUUCUGCCCUUCCUCUCUCAGCUAAUAUUCUUGUUUUUCAUUUUACAGGGAAAAUGAAAGCAGCCAAAAGAGAAUUUCCUGAUGCUCCCACCAUCAAAUCCAUCAGCAUGCCUGCAUCUGAAAUCACAUUCUUUGCUUUCCUUCCUUUGAGAGUGGCUGGUCUGUCAGUAAUUCUAGCAAAGACCACACCACAUCCUAUCCUCUUACCAGAGAGCAUUUUCCUGAAAAUGACCAUUUCUGCAUUCCCCCUUAUGUUUUCCCCUAUACUGAAUCAUUCCAGUUAUCAUUUGUUUCAAAUGAAGAAUUAUAAUUCAAGUAUUUCUUUUAGUGCAAUGAGUGAGAGAUAAAGAUUACAUUUAACAUUAAGAUUGGUUCAGAACAUAAAAGUUCUUUUUGCACCGUGUUGGAAACUAUUGAAGUACUAUCUUCACAGCGUAACCCUCCGUACAUGCACUUCAUUGCUCCUCAAUUUUUCUGCCUUUCUCCAACACAAUACCUGAUACUGCCCUACUUUCUAUUCUCUUGUAUCCUUAUUUUUUCCUAAUUGAGAGAGAACAGUGAUGAUAAUUAAACAAUUGAGUGGAAACCAAUUCCUGCGAUAGUGCUAGAUGCUUAAUAGGUAACAUCUUCUGCUCGAGUUACUGAGACUUCACCUACUUUGAAGCUACUGAUCUCAAAGAAGCUUAAGGAAUAAUUAUGGAGGAGAUAAUUUUAGGUAAAAUUUGAAUUUAUAAGGAAAUGUUGUCCAGGAAAAUUAUAGGGUCCAUUUUUUACCAGGCUUGAGACAUAUUUGGUACAGAGAAUAUUAGGGAGUGGUUAGUCAGAAUGGCUGCUUUGGAAAAUGAAUUUAACUGUAAGAAGUCUGUUGAGUACAUAUAACAGUGGAAUAAAAUGGUGGUGGAGGUGAAAGAUCACUUCAUAUGAUACAUUUUGACUUCAAAUUUCUAGUCUCUGAGGAUUAAGAAGGUACCAGUGAAGAAAGGUUUGAUUUUCAAAGAGAAGCAGCCAAUGUCCCAUGACACCAUUAAUAAAAUAGAUAACACUUUAGAGUGUGCAAAGUUCAUUUAUUUUGAUUAUCUAAUUCAAAAGUGACACAACCUUAUGAGGUAACAAUUGCUAUACUUUAAUAAGGAAUGGAAACUAAGAGAAAUUAAGUAAGAUUUACCUUGGAUUUCCAAGGUAAUCCAAUAAGUGAGUCAAACCCAGGCUAUAGGUAAAGAAAUUGGCCACUCAGUACUACAAUAUGUAUGUUCACC
rnacentral:lncRNA from 1 species